GCGCGGGUGGUGAAACUGGUAAACACACCAGCUUGAGGGGCUGGUGCUCGCAAGAGCUUGGAGGUUCAAGUCCUCUCCCGCGCA
rnacentral:tRNA from 1 species